rnacentral:rRNA from 1 species
UGCAGAGGUCUCAAGCGUUGUUCGGAUUCAUUGGGCGUAAAGGGUGCGUAGGUGGCGGGGUAAGUCAGGUGUGAAAUCUCGGAGCUCAACUCCGAGCUUGCAUUCGAUACGGGCAGGCUAGAGUUCGGUAGGGGAGACUGGAAUUCCUGGUGUAGCGGUGAAAUUCGUAGAUAUCGGGAGGAACACCGGUGGCGAAGGCGGCGAUCUGGGUCGAUACUGACGCUGAGGAGCGAAAGCGUGGGUAGCGAACAGG